AUGGCGCUCUCCGGCGACGGCGGCCCGGUCCUCCUCCACCCGCCCUCCGCGCUGCACCACCACGCCGUCUAUCCCGGCCCCGCCCACCACCACCACCCCGGCAUGGUCUGGAAUCCCUUCCAGCCCACGUACGACCAGCAGCACCUCCUGCCUAUGCCCAUGCCCAUGCCCGGGCCCAUGAUGGUGCACAUGCAGCCGCCGCCCGUCGACCGGUUCGCCUUCGCCUUCGACGCCCACGCCAACGCCCACCGCCGCCGCCGCCGCCGCGGCGGUCGCGGCUCGAGGACGCCCUCGCCGCCCUCGUCGCCCGUGGGCCAGCCCGCCUUCGCCCGCCACGUCCACUGCGCCCCGCAGCCACCGGCGGAGGUCGAGGUUCCCGCCGUGUGGGAAUGGAACCAGGCCGACGAGACGACGCCGCUGCUGCCGCCGCCGCACCCGGUGGUGACCAUCGACACGGAGUUCCCGGGCACGCUGCACAGCUCCGCCACGCCGUUCUACCCGAGGGGCCCCUAUGAGGUGGAGGUGCGCGACGUGUGGAAGUGGAACCUGGUCCGGGAGAUGGAGGCCAUCACGGCGCUGCUGCCGACGCACCCGGUGGUGACCAUCGACACGGAGUUCCCGGGCGUGGUGCACGACUCGGCCACGCCGCGCGCCAAGCGGAGCCCGAAGGAGGCCUACGCGCUCGUGAGGAGCAACGUGGACCACCUGAAGCACCUGCUGCAGCUCGGCCUCACCCUGUCCGGGCCCGGGGGCAGCCACCCCGUGGUGUGGCAGUUCAACUUCCGGGGCUUCGACGAGAAGCGCGACCCGCACGCGCCGGAAUCCAUCGCCAUGCUCAAGGCCCACGGCAUGGACUUCGCCAGGCUUAACCAGGACGGCAUCGACCCGGGCGACUUCACCGACGAGUUCAUGCGCUCCGGCCUCAACCACCGCCGCCCGCGCCGGGGCAGAAGCGCCCCCGAGCCCCUCACGUGGGUGGCCUUCUCGGGCUCCUACGACUUCGCCUACCUCGCCAAGAUGCUCUUCCGCCGAGGCAACAGACGGUUGCCGCAGAAGCUCGAGGACUUCAGAAGGCGCGUGGAGCUGCUCUUCGGCCCGUGGGUGCUCGACGCCAAGUACAUUGCCAAGACCUGCAGCAGGCUCGGCGGGCUGGAGCUGGUGGCCGGCGAUCUCGGGGUCCAGCGCCGAGCCGGCGUCGCCCACAACGCCGGCUCCGACAGCCUUCUCACCGCCGACCUGAUGCACGCCAUUGUGUUGCCCCUCGACUACGACGUGCGCAAGAUACACGGCGGAAAGAUCGAUGGGCUCGUCUAA
rnacentral:rRNA from 1 species